rnacentral:tRNA from 1 species
GCAGGAGUAACUCAAUUGGCAGAGUGUCAGCCUUCCAAGCUGAAAGUUGCGAGUUCGAGGCUCGUCUCCUGCUCCA